rnacentral:rRNA from 1 species
UUAAGCGACUAAGCGUACACGGUGGAUGCCCUGGCAGUCAGAGGCGAUGAAGGACGUGCUAAUCUGCGAUAAGCGCCGGUAAGGUGAUAUGAACCGUUAUAACCGGCGAUUUCCGAAUGGGGAAACCCAGUGUGACUCGUCACACUAUCAUUAACUGAAUCCAUAGGUUAAUGAGGCGAACCGGGGGAACUGAAACAUCUAAGUACCCCGAGGAAAAGAAAUCAACCGAGAUUCCCCCAGUAGCGGCGAGCGAACGGGGAGGAGCCCAGAGCCUGAAUCAGCAUGUGUGUUAGUGGAAGCGUCUGGAAAGGCGCGCGAUACAGGGUGACAGCCCCGUACACAAAAGCGCAUGUGCUGUGAGCUCGAUGAGUAGGGCGGGACACGUGGUAUCCUGUCUGAAUAUGGGGGGACCAUCCUCCAAGGCUAAAUACUCCUGACUGACCGAUAGUGAACCAGUACCGUGAGGGAAAGGCGAAAAGAACCCCGGCGAGGGGAGUGAAAAAGAACCUGAAACCGUGUACGUACAAGCAGUGGGAGCACCCUUUGGGGUGUGACUGCGUACCUUUUGUAUAAUGGGUCAGCGACUUAUAUUCUGUAGCAAGGUUAACCGAAUAGGGGAGCCGGAGGGAAACCGAGUCUUAACCGGGCGUUAAGUUGCAGGGUAUAGACCCGAAACCCGGUGAUCUAGCCAUGGGCAGGUUGAAGGUUGGGUAACACUAACUGGAGGACCGAACCGACUAAUGUUGAAAAAUUAGCGGAUGACCUGUGGCUGGGGGUGAAAGGCCAAUCAAACCGGGAGAUAGCUGGUUCUCCCCGAAAGCUAUUUAGGUAGCGCCUCGUGAACUCAUCUCCGGGGGUAGAGCACUGUUUCGGCUAGGGGGCCAUCCCGGCUUACCAACCCGAUGCAAACUGCGAAUACCGGAGAAUGUUAUCACGGGAGACACACGGCGGGUGCUAACGUCCGUCGUGAAGAGGGAAACAACCCAGACCGCCAGCUAAGGUCCCAAAGUCAUGGUUAAGUGGGAAACGAUGUGGGAAGGCCCAGACAGCCAGGAUGUUGGCUUAGAAGCAGCCAUCAUUUAAAGAAAGCGUAAUAGCUCACUGGUCGAGUCGGCCUGCGCGGAAGAUGUAACGGGGCUAAACCAUGCACCGAAGCUGCGGCAGCGACACUCAGGUGUUGUUGGGUAGGGGAGCGUUCUGUAAGCCUGCGAAGGUGGCCUGUGAGGGUUGCUGGAGGUAUCAGAAGUGCGAAUGCUGACAUAAGUAACGAUAAAGCGGGUGAAAAGCCCGCUCGCCGGAAGACCAAGGGUUCCUGUCCAACGUUAAUCGGGGCAGGGUGAGUCGACCCCUAAGGCGAGGCCGAAAGGCGUAGUCGAUGGGAAACGGGUUAAUAUUCCCGUACUUGGUGUUACUGCGAAGGGGGGACGGAGAAGGCUAUGUUGGCCGGGCGACGGUUGUCCCGGUUUAAGCGUGUAGGCUGGUUUUCCAGGCAAAUCCGGAAAAUCAAGGCUGAGGCGUGACGACGAGGCACUACGGUGCUGAAGCAACAAAUGCCCUGCUUCCAGGAAAAGCCUCUAAGCAUCAGGUAACAUCAAAUCGUACCCCAAACCGACACAGGUGGUCAGGUAGAGAAUACCAAGGCGCUUGAGAGAACUCGGGUGAAGGAACUAGGCAAAAUGGUGCCGUAACUUCGGGAGAAGGCACGCUGACACGUAGGUGAAGUGAUUUACUCAUGGAGCUGAAGUCAGUCGAAGAUACCAGCUGGCUGCAACUGUUUAUUAAAAACACAGCACUGUGCAAACACGAAAGUGGACGUAUACGGUGUGACGCCUGCCCGGUGCCGGAAGGUUAAUUGAUGGGGUCAGCGCAAGCGAAGCUCCUGAUCGAAGCCCCGGUAAACGGCGGCCGUAACUAUAACGGUCCUAAGGUAGCGAAAUUCCUUGUCGGGUAAGUUCCGACCUGCACGAAUGGCGUAAUGAUGGCCAGGCUGUCUCCACCCGAGACUCAGUGAAAUUGAACUCGCUGUGAAGAUGCAGUGUACCCGCGGCAAGACGGAAAGACCCCGUGAACCUUUACUAUAGCUUGACACUGAACAUUGAGCCUUGAUGUGUAGGAUAGGUGGGAGGCUUUGAAGUGUGGACGCCAGUCUGCAUGGAGCCGGCCUUGAAAUACCACCCUUUAAUGUUUGAUGUUCUAACGUGGACCCGUGAUCCGGGUUGCGGACAGUGUCUGGUGGGUAGUUUGACUGGGGCGGUCUCCUCCUAAAGAGUAACGGAGGAGCACGAAGGUUGGCUAAUCCUGGUCGGACAUCAGGAGGUUAGUGCAAUGGCAUAAGCCAGCUUGACUGCGAGCGUGACGGCGCGAGCAGGUGCGAAAGCAGGUCAUAGUGAUCCGGUGGUUCUGAAUGGAAGGGCCAUCGCUCAACGGAUAAAAGGUACUCCGGGGAUAACAGGCUGAUACCGCCCAAGAGUUCAUAUCGACGGCGGUGUUUGGCACCUCGAUGUCGGCUCAUCACAUCCUGGGGCUGAAGUAGGUCCCAAGGGUAUGGCUGUUCGCCAUUUAAAGUGGUACGCGAGCUGGGUUUAGAACGUCGUGAGACAGUUCGGUCCCUAUCUGCCGUGGGCGCUGGAGAACUGAGGGGGGCUGCUCCUAGUACGAGAGGACCGGAGUGGACGCAUCACUGGUGUUCGGGUUGUCAUGCCAAUGGCACUGCCCGGUAGCUAAAUGCGGAAGAGAUAAGUGCUGAAAGCAUCUAAGCACGAAACUUGCCCCGAGAUGAGUUCUCCCUGAGACUUUAGGUCUCCUGAAGGAACGUUGAAGACGACGACGUUGAUAGGCCGGGUGUGUAAGCGCAGCGAUGCGUUGAGCUAACCGGUACUAAUGAACCGUGAGGCUUAACCUU